UCAAGUCUACAGAAGAGUUAAGGAAAACGUCCUGCCAGAAAGAUCCAGAAAGUUGAUACAUUAGCAACAAUAACUAAGUGGUGCUCUUGUCACAGAUGCCCACAAUACGAGAGAGUGGAAGAUCGAGUUUGCUGUGGGAUGGUCCCAGAAUUAUGCUCAAGUCACAGACCUGAGAUGACUCUUUCGGUGCUGGAUAGGAUGACCCUCUACAGUCAGCAGCAGUAUCAACAAGAUGUGUUUUCCUUUUAUGCAGAGACACUAGAAGAUGUCAAUAAAUCUUUCAGACAUGCUGCAUACAGACAAUUUACCAUCUUAAUGCAUGAGAAUAACUGUCCCAGCAUGUUGUGUUAAAUUAAUAAGGGAGAAGUUUCCUAGUCCUUAAGGCCAGUAUACAGGCUUCGUACCAGGUGAAGGCCCAGUGUUCUAAUAAUUGUGCAUAUUUAUGCCCCCCUUCGAAGAAGAGGGGGUAUAUAGUUUUGCACAUGUCGGUCCGUCCAACAGAUGGUUUCGGGAUGAUAACUUAAGAACGCUUAGGCCUAGGAUCAUGAAACUUCAUAGGUACAUUGAUCAUGACUGGCAAAUAACCCCUAUUGAUUUUCAGGUCACUAGGUCAAAGGUCAGUGACUCGAAACAGUAAAGCGGUUUCCGGAUGAUAACUCAAGAAUGCAUACGCCUAGGAUCUUGAAACUUCAUAGGUACAUUGAUCACGACUGGCAGAGGACCCCUUUAGAUUUUCCGGUCACAAGGUCAAGGUCACAGUGACUCAAAACAAUAAAAUGGUUUCCAGCUGAUAACUCAAGAAUGCUUACGCCUUUUGAUCAUGAAACUUCAUAGCUACAUUGAUAAUGACUGGCAGAUGACCCCUUUUGAUUUUCAGGUCACUAGGUCAAGGUCACAGUGACUCGAAAUAGUAAAAUGGUUUCCUGAUGAUAACUCAAGAAUAAUUAGGCCUAGGAUCAGGAAACUUCAUAGGUACAUUGAUCAUGACUGACAGAUGACCCCUAUUAAUUUUCAGGUCACUAUGUCAAAGGUCAAGGUCACAGUGACAAAAAACGUAUUCACACAAUAGCUGCCACUACAACUGACAGCCCAUAUGGGGGGCAUGCAUGUUUUACAAACAGCCCUUGUUGCUAUUCUUUUUCAUUUAUCAGACAUAGAACUUUUCUUAGUUUUGAUUAUUUUUUGUUCUGGCUCCUUUUUUGAAACAUUUAUAUUUAUGCAAAUCAUUUGAGUUAUGCUUAAUCAUUUGGAUUUUUCAGUUCUAUGCAUUUUGUUUUGAAAAAUCAAUUUGUGUGAAAUGUGCUAGUUUAUUAUUAAAACUUGCACAGCAGUUUUUACAUUUGUAUGCUUACUUUGGUGUCAUUUGAAUGAAAUGCCACGAGUACUCUGGAUUGUAAGAUGAAAGAAAUAAAAGAAGCAAUGACA